AUUGAACGCUGGCGGCAUGCCUUACACAUGCAAGUCGAACGGCAGCACGGAGCUUGCUCUGGUGGCGAGUGGCGAACGGGUGAGUAAUAUAUCGGAACGUACCCUAGAGUGGGGGAUAACGUAGCGAAAGUUACGCUAAUACCGCAUACGAUCUAAGGAUGAAAGUGGGGGAUCGCAAGACCUCAUGCUCGUGGAGCGGCCGAUAUCUGAUUAGCUAGUUGGUAGGGUAAAAGCCUACCAAGGCAUCGAUCAGUAGCUGGUCUGAGAGGACGACCAGCCACACUGGAACUGAGACACGGUCCAGACUCCUACGGGAGGCAGCAGUGGGGAAUUUUGGACAAUGGGCGAAAGCCUGAUCCAGCAAUGCCGCGUGAGUGAAGAAGGCCUUCGGGUUGUAAAGCUCUUUUGUCAGGGAAGAAACGGUGAGAGCUAAUAUCUUUUGCUAAUGACGGUACCUGAAGAAUAAGCACCGGCUAACUACGUGCCAGCAGCCGCGGUAAUACGUAGGGUGCAAGCGUUAAUCGGAAUUACUGGGCGUAAAGCGUGCGCAGGCGGUUUUGUAAGUCUGAUGUGAAAUCCCCGGGCUCAACCUGGGAAUUGCAUUGGAGACUGCAAGGCUAGAAUCUGGCAGAGGGGGGUAGAAUUCCACGUGUAGCAGUGAAAUGCGUAGAUAUGUGGAGGAACACCGAUGGCGAAGGCAGCCCCCUGGGUCAAGAUUGACGCUCAUGCACGAAAGCGUGGGGAGCAAACAGGAUUAGAUACCCUGGUAGUCCACGCCCUAAACGAUGUCUACUAGUUGUCGGGUCUUAAUUGACUUGGUAACGCAGCUAACGCGUGAAGUAGACCGCCUGGGGAGUACGGUCGCAAGAUUAAAACUCAAAGGAAUUGACGGGGACCCGCACAAGCGGUGGAUGAUGUGGAUUAAUUCGAUGCAACGCGAAAAACCUUACCUACCCUUGACAUGGCUGGAAUCCUUGAGAGAUCAGGGAGUGCUCGAAAGAGAACCAGUACACAGGUGCUGCAUGGCUGUCGUCAGCUCGUGUCGUGAGAUGUUGGGUUAAGUCCCGCAACGAGCGCAACCCUUGUCAUUAGUUGCUACGAAAGGGCACUCUAAUGAGACUGCCGGUGACAAACCGGAGGAAGGUGGGGAUGACGUCAAGUCCUCAUGGCCCUUAUGGGUAGGGCUUCACACGUCAUACAAUGGUACAUACAGAGCGCCGCCAACCCGCGAGGGGGAGCUAAUCGCAGAAAGUGUAUCGUAGUCCGGAUUGUAGUCUGCAACUCGACUGCAUGAAGUUGGAAUCGCUAGUAAUCGCGGAUCAGCAUGUCGCGGUGAAUACGUUCCCGGGUCU
rnacentral:rRNA from 1 species